rnacentral:rRNA from 1 species
UGCCAGCCGCCGCGGUAAUACGGAAGGUGCAAGCGUUAAUCGGAAUUACUGGGCGUAAAGCGCGCGUAGGCGGUUAGAUAAGUCGGGUGUGAAAGCCCUGGGCUCAACCUGGGAACUGCAUUCGAUACUGUCUGACUAGAGUGUGAUAGAGGGAGGCGGAAUUCCACAUGUAGCGGGGAAAUGCGUAGAGAUGUGGAGGAACACCAAUGGCGAAGGCAGCCUCCUGGAUUAACACUGACGCUGAGGUGCGAAAGCGUGGGGAGCAAACAGGAUUAGAUA